rnacentral:rRNA from 1 species
UACGGAGGAUGCAAGCGUUAUCCGGAAUGAUUGGGCGUAAAGCGUCCGCAGGUGGCUGUGUAAGUCUGCUGUCAAAGAGCAAAGCUCAACUUUGUAAAGGCAGUGGAAACUACACGGCUAGAGUGCGUUCGGGGCAGAGGGAAUUCCUGGUGUAGCGGUGAAAUGCGUAGAUAUUGGGAAGAACACCGGUGGCGAAAGCGCCUUGCUGGGUCUGCACUGACACUGAGGGACGAAAGCUAGGGGAGCGAAAGGG